rnacentral:rRNA from 1 species
GAUGAACGCUGGCGGCGUGCCUAAUACAUGCAAGUCGAGCGAACGGACGAGAAGCUUGCUUCUCUGAUGUUAGCGGCGGACGGGUGAGUAACACGUGGAUAACCUACCUAUAAGACUGGGAUAACUUCGGGAAACCGGAGCUAAUACCGGAUAAUAUUUUGAACCGCAUGGUUCAAAAGUGAAAGACGGUCUUGCUGUCACUUAUAGAUGGAUCCGCGCUGCAUUAGCUAGUUGGUAAGGUAACGGCUUACCAAGGCAACGAUGCAUAGCCGACCUGAGAGGGUGAUCGGCUACACUGGAACUGAGACACGGUCCAGACUCCUACGGGAGGCAGCAGUAGGGAAUCUUCCGCAAUGGGCGAAAGCCUGACGGAGCAACGCCGCGUGAGUGAUGAAGGUCUUCGGAUCGUAAAACUCUGUUAUUAGGGAAGAACAUAUGUGUAAGUAACUGUGCACAUCUUGACGGUACCUAAUUAGAAAGCCACGGCUAACUACGUG